UUCAGAAUAUCUCUUUUAUAGAAAAACAUCAUGAAAGGCUCAGUCUCAAAGUCGCCAUCUAAGACAUACGAAUAUAUUUGGACACAACCCAUACUUCGACGAAUAGAAAAUAGCUAAGUCUAUUACAAUACUCUUAAUAAAAUAAUCUAAACACCAUGAUGUCCUCAAAUCUAGUGAGGAUAUGCCAGCUCUUGCUUGAAUGAAAAUGCCAAUCCAACCUUCACUUCGACACUCCUCUCAAAUGCCACCUACACCUUUAGAGAUAUAUAAAAUAUUUGGAAUUAGUACAUUGUAUGUACUAACUAUAGUGUAAUGCAAAAAAUCAUGAUAAAAGGACAUAUGACAAAACAUGCUCUUUUGAGUAAAACUUCAUAUCGUACGUAUUAGAAUUAGAUAUAACACCAACACCACAUAUAUUGCACAAGAUAACUUCAAAACACAUAAGCAUGAGACCCUCAUACAAAAGGGGAUUCUAAGGUUCACUUGAGUGAGUUAUGAAGCGACCGCCCAUACAAUCCCUUCACACACACCAGAGAGAUUCUUUACAUUACAUAAGAUAAGAUUAUUUCCAUUUCAUUAAUUAAACUCCCUACCUAUAAUUACUCUAAGUCUCACCUAAAAAAAACAUGAAGAUACCUCUCAUACACCCUCUUCAAGCCUACCUAAAGAAUCCUCAAAGCUACUCUAGGUAAGUACCUUUUCAUUAACAUUCCUUUACUUAAGUCAUUAUGUCCAUUAGACCUUUUAAGAGACAUUCACCAAUUAUGGACUUUCACAUAACAGUUUUGGAGAAGACCUAGGGACUCACGCACUAAUAUCUUCAAAGCCUAGUCACGCAAUGUUUAGAUAUUGUCUCAUUCCACUACCUAAAUGUUUUAGUACUUAUCCAACACUAGCAUGUAUCUCACAUGAUGAGAAUAGACAAUAACCGACAUAGACCAUACUAGAUAUACAUGGAAUCUGGAAUCUACCCUACUACGAUGAAGGAUGUUCUACUUGCCAAGGGUAGAAGUAGGACAUAUCCCAUGUAGGCACAUGGUUAAGGAAUAUCGAGGGCUUUUAUGAACUCUAGUAUCCUUCUCAAGUAGAAUCAGAUUGCACUCUAGACUCCUUCUCAAGUAGAGCUACAAUCCAUAACGUAUUCGCUCGGUGAUAGCCUUUGUUCUCAUAGAGUACGUUCAAUCAUUUAAAGGUAUAUGAGGAGGUAUCAUCUCUUUGUCCUACCAACUUAUAGUACCCCUACAAAGAAUAGGUCCACAAGGGCUGCCACUAAAGUUCUAUAAGGAUAACUUAUUCUUCACAUUCUUUUUAUUUAGAAGGUUCCAUGUACUAGUCAUGAUUAGAAAGGCACCAUCUUAUGUCUACCGAUCUUAAGACUUUCAUUCAACAUUCAUUCAUACACAUACAAGACAGGGGUGCAUAAGACGACUAAGUCAAGAUGUUCAUGUUCAUAUUCUUCAUGUAUCAUGUAAGGGACAUAGGUCUACCAAAGCAAGACACUUCAUUAUUAUCUUAUCACAUAUAGCAUAACAUUCAAGAAGCACAUAGAGACAACUAAGUAUACUUGCUAGUCAUUCUACUCAUUUCUAUAGAAUCAUAAAUAUAAACCAUCACAAGUCACAUAUAAGUGUUCAAGAAGCAUCAUACUUCAAUAGCAAGACAUUCACAAAAAGACUUCAAUAUAGCCUACUAAUGACAUCUAUCAUCAACUACGAGAACUCAUGCUCAGAAUUCAAAUAUCACAUAAGUCAUCAAGACCUUCAUGAAGUAAUGUCGACAAGUCCACAUUGUUUCACAAUUCAUGAAGUAAUGCCAAUGAGGCCACAUAAUUCACAAGUAUAGCACAUAAGCACCGCCACCAUAAGUGGACAAUACGAAUCAUCAUCAUAAUUCAAGACUUAUACUAUAUAAUAUCGAGAUAUUUAGGUUAACAUACAACCAAUCCAAUCUCACAACUUCAAUUCAUAUCCAAUUAAUUCAACUCAAUACUCGAAGGCUCUUACCCAUAUCCUUGAUAACCAAUUCAAUCCAAUAAUCUCAAUAUACAAUGAAUCCAAAGUAAUACAAUAUGAAUUUAUCAAUUUAGGACAGCCUACUAAUUAUUCUUACAUUAUUCAUACAUAUAUCAAUAACCCAAUACAAUCUACAUAAGAAAUCAAUACAAUUGAGACAUGAUCAAAUCACCCAUAAUAUGAUAAAAAUAAGGAAAUCAUGAUUUGUAUGGGUUCAUGGAGUUUUUGAUCCAAAAUCAGCAAAUUAACAUCAAUUCAAUCAUAAUUCAUUGAUUUAAAACAUUUUAUGCAAGAACCCAUUACUAGAUCACCAAAUAAGAGAAUUCAAGUUUUUCAUUUUUUUUGAAAUUAUUGAAAUUGACUCCUUGAAUGGAAGGAAUACAAGGAUGAAAAAUCAUACUUUAAUUCUAAUGAAAACCCCACUAAAUUGAUGGAGAAAAACUUGGAAAAUAAGUCUUCUUCCUUGGAGCUUCAAAGCUUCAUCAAUGGUGGUUUUUGGAGAGAAGAGAUUGAGAGAUUUUAUUUUGGAC
rnacentral:lncRNA from 1 species